rnacentral:tRNA from 1 species
GCCGCGAUGGCGGAAUUUGGUAGACGCAAAGGACUUAAAAUCCUUCGGGUGUAAACCCGUGCCGGUUCGAGUCCGGCUCGCGGCA